rnacentral:rRNA from 1 species
UACAGAGGGGGCAAGCGUUGUUCGGACUUACUGGGCGUAAAGGGCGCGUAGGCGGCCUUCUAAGUCGCCCGUGAAAUCCCCGGGCUCAACCCGGGAACUGCGUCCGAUACUGGAAGGCUUGAAUCCGGGAGAGGGAUGUGGAAUUCCAGGUGUAGCGGUGAAAUGCGUAGAUAUCUGGAGGAACACCGGUGGCGAAGGCGACAUCCUGGACCGGUAUUGACGCUGAGGCGCGAAAGCCAGGGGAGCAAACGGG